rnacentral:rRNA from 1 species
GACGAACGCUGGCGGCGUGCUUAACACAUGCAAGUCGAACGGAAAGGCCCUGCUUUUGUGGGGUGCUCGAGUGGCGAACGGGUGAGUAACACGUGAGUAACCUGCCCUUGACUUUGGGAUAACUUCAGGAAACUGGGGCUAAUACCGGAUAGGAGCUCCUUCUGCAUGGUGGGGGUUGGAAAGUUUCGGCGGUUGGGGAUGGACUCGCGGCUUAUCAGCUUGUUGGUGGGGUAGUGGCUUACCAAGGCUUUGACGGGUAGCCGGCCUGAGAGGGUGACCGGCCACAUUGGGACUGAGAUACGGCCCAGACUCCUACGGGAGGCAGCAGUGGGGAAUAUUGCACAAUGGGCGGAAGCCUGAUGCAGCAACGCCGCGUGUGGGAUGACGGCCUUCGGGUUGUAAACCGCUUUCGCCUGUGACGAAGCGUGAGUGACGGUAAUGGGUAAAGAAGCACCGGCUAACUACGUG